rnacentral:lncRNA from 1 species
GCCAAGAAAAAUCGACAUAGUUUACACACCUAUUGAUUUGUCAUAAGAUGUCAACUAGAGAACAAAAAAAACCCAAACAGAUUAAUGGACAAGAGUGUUAAUUGCAAUGAUAUAUAAAAAAGCCAAAAUUACAUAAUAGCUCUAAUGUAAUAGCUCUGACGUGCAACAUAAGAAGAUAAAGAAUGAACUAUUUAUAGGAAACCAUUAAGGCAUUGUUGACUCAAGGACACUGGAAGAGAUGCUGGCCCAAUC